rnacentral:rRNA from 1 species
UUCACUAGUGAUUAGGGUUUGAUCAUGGCUCAGAUUGAACGCUGGCGGCAGGCCUAACACAUGCAAGUCGAGCGGAAACGAGUUAUCUGAACCUUCGGGGGACGAUAACGGCGUCGAGCGGCGGACGGGUGUAGUAAUGCCUAGGAAAUUGCCCUGAUGUGGGGGAUAACCAUUGKAAACGAUGGCUAAUACCGCAUAAUACCUACGGGUCAAAGAGGGGGACCUUCGGGCCUCUCGCGUCAGGAUAUGCCUAGGUGGGAUUAGCUAGUUGGUGAGGUAAUGGCUCACCAAGGCGACGUUCCCUAGCUGGUCUGAGAGGAUGAUCAGCCACACUGGAACUGAGACACGGUCCAGACUCCUACGGGAGGCAGCAGUGGGGAAUAUUGCACAAUGGGCGCAAGCUGAUGCAGCCAUGCCGCGUGUGUGAAGAAGGCCUUCGGGUUGUAAAGCACUUUCAGUAGGGAGGAAGGUUCAUGCGUUAAUAGCGUAUGGAUUUSACGUUACCUACAGAAGAAGCACCGGCUAACUCCGUGCCAGCAGCCGCGGUAAUACGGAGGGUGCGAGCGUUAAUCGGAAUUACUGGGCGUAAAGCGCAUGCAGGUGGUUUGUUAAGUCAGAUGUGAAAGCCCGGGGCUCAACCUCGGAAUAGCAUUUGAAACUGGCAGACUAGAGUACUGUAGAGGGGGGUAGAAUUUMAGGUGUAGCGGUGAAAUGCGUAGAGAUCUGAAGGAAUACCGGUGGCGAAGGCGGCCCCCUGGACAGAUACUGACACUCAGAUGCGAAAGGUGGGGAGCAAACAGGAUUAGAUACCCUGGUAGUCCACGCCGUAAACGAUGUCUACUUGGAGGUUGUGGCCUUGAGCCGUGGCUUUCGGAGCUAACGCGUUAAGUAGACCGCCUG